CAUCACGUGCUCACCCGCCCAGCACCAUGAGUGGUUGGGCCAGGAGAGACUGCAACCCAGCCCCCUGAACAGACGGCCUCCGCCCUGCUACAGCACCCCACGCAGCCCAGGUACCAACCAACGCCACCCAGCUACCAGAGUGUUACAUUUAAGCUUCAUUAUACGCAUACAUUUGCCAUCAGCAUUGUUUGCUACAAAGUGCAUCCUACCUGCUACAUGCAGAGGGGAAGAGCGUCUUUAUUCUAUUUUCCCCUACUAUACCGUAUUCAUUGAUUAUGCCUAAGUACAAUAGCUUUGGUCCAGUUUUUCGCAAGUACUCAUUAAAUUGUUGCUAGUGAUUGUACUAAAUGUUCCUCUAAUUACACAAGUUGCUAUUGUUUACAUAGUCAAUGUAGCUAGCUAGAGUUUCGCUAGCGAGUAGCUUUUAAUUCAUAAAUCGUAGUACAAUAUCCAGUGGUGUAUAGUCGAGGCCCUAUGCAACCAAAAUCAACUUUAUUUCAAACAUACAUUACCAGUCAGUUCACACACCUUGCAUUGGUUCCUUGAGUGUGCGUGUUUAACACCAGGAGCAGUACUUUUACAAGUUGAAUUGCAGCAAAAUGUCACUGGUAUACUUGUUUUGGGGUGGUGCAGCGACUGCGCCCAACUACAGAGCCAUGGGGGUCACUGGGGAGCCCAUCCCCCCUCUGCCCAGCCUGCUGGACACCUCCACCUGGGGCAGCACCCGCUCCCUGCCCCCCCACACCGAGAGCUUCGCCAUUGCCAGCCUGGGAGCCAGCACGGUCAGAAUAGUCAGCACUCUCCCAGUCAGAACAAUGUUUCAAUUAAUUCUUCAGACCUGUCGAAAUAUAUAGUACGCGGGUGCCAACCAACCCUGGUCCUGGAGAUGUACUGGGUGUGAAGUUAUACCCAUUAUCAACAUAACUGAAAUGUUGAUAUAUAUUGGCUGCUCUAUCUGCAGACAGACCUCUCCAGACAGACCUCACCCUUGAUGAGAGACUCCUCCCUCGAGGAGACUGGGACGCACGUGGGCGUGUCAGAGUUCACCACAGCCAGCUCCGGAGAGAGACGGACCACAGUGACCAGCCAGGAGGGCGUGGGCUCUACCUACACCGUACCCACCACCAGCCAAGAAAGGGAGGAGGUGGAAGAGAGAGAGAGUUUAGAGAAGAAGAACAUGGAGUAUCUCGAAGGGGAGAGAGGGAUGUCGCUGGCUGCUGACAGGAAAGAAGAGUUGGAAAGGUCCGAUCAGGGUAGCUGUGCUGGUGUGGAUGUCGACCUGAUUGAUGAAGAUCCUCUGGAUGCUAGCUCCUCUGUUUUAGAGGGAGAAGAUGAACUUGUGUCAGAUGAGGAAGAGUUGCCUGGCGAAGAGGAGACAGACCAUGAGGAUGAAGAUGUGAUUAAUGAUCAAGUGCUAACUGACGAAGAGGUCUCUGUGGCCAGUACACAGCAGGCAGAGACAUCAGGAGCUCACCAUGGCAGCACACACAGUGAAGAUUACCUUUCAGGCUGUGGUCCAGACACAGAGGGAGCUGCAGCAUCUGUACAGCAGAGCCAGGCCAAAGGCCUGUCUGGGGGCCCAGACUCACUGGAGGAGACUGAUAGAGCUCACUCUACUCUGGAUGAGGUGCUGCAGGGCAUGUUGGUGGAAAGGGCCGCUGGUCAAAGGGUUCUGAAAAGUCCAGGUCUGGUUGCACACCCCAAACAGCAACUGGGUGUGUGUGAGCCCCAGGUGGAGGGCGAGUUGAGUGAGGAUGCAGGUUGUCCAGGAGGGGACCGUGCCGAAGUGGCAGAACGAAAGGGGGUCGACACCAAUGACUGGACAGAACCAGCACCUGUCGCAGAAAAGCUAGAAAUGGCUAGUCAUGAGACCUGGAGUCAGCCUCACAGGUGUGUUUUUAUUUUUUACAUUUUAUUUAUACACACACAGUUGAAGUCAGAAGUUUACAUACACCUUAGCCAAAUACAUUUAAACUCAGUUUUUCACAAUUCCCGACAUUUAAAUCCUAGUAAAAAUUCCCUGUCUUAG
ensembl:lncRNA